CCAUUUCUUGCAUGUUUUUCUAUGAUUAUUCCAUGAUGUUUUAGGGGGUUUUUGGGGAAUAGUUUAGAGUUAUGUUCAUGUAUGUUGGUCCCUCAUUUGAGUCCACCUGUGUAGGUUCGGACCCGAGGAACCGAGGACCCCAGCAGUGAGUCUGUUGCCCCAGUGUCUGGUCAGAGCUAUCCAGAGGUGAGUAGAAUAACC
rnacentral:lncRNA from 1 species